rfam:Triticum aestivum genome assembly, contig: Triticum_aestivum_CS42_TGACv1_scaffold_487908_6AS
AAAGUACUCCCUCCGUCCCAAAAUUCUUGUCUUAGAUUUGUCUAGAUACGAAUGUAUCAAGUCACAUUUUAGUAUUAGAUACAUCCGUAUCUAGACAAAUCUAAGACAAGAAAUUUGGGAUAGAGGGAGUAGUUG